CAGUAAAUAAACACAUUUUGGUCGUCAGCAGAGAGCUACCUGGAUUUUAUUUUAUUUCCUUCCUUUUUUUUUUAUCGUAGAGAAAAAUGACAGGGAUUCACUUUCUAAGAAAUUACACUAUGUUCAAUGACUUCCCAUCAAGAGUAGGCAAUGUUCCGUAUCCUGCCAUUGGUAAGUAUCAAAUGGGCCCGUGUCAGACAAGUCAUGGCUUUUAAUCUCCCUUUAUUGGCCACGUCACCUGUCAGUGACCUUGACUGUUGCCGGCUGCCUCAUGUUCUGCAGUUUCCUGAUAAGUGUGUUUCCGGCUUUUGAAGUUAUGUCUGCCGAAAACCACAUCUGGUUCACCGCCGCCUCAACAGACACACAAUGAAAUACAAAAGGCUAAUUCUGCUGUGUACGCAAUCCAUGUUUCUUUCCCCAGAGGAUUCCAGAUGGAGUGAACUCAGUAGAGGCGGUGCUUCGACGGCUGAUGAUCUUGCGGAGAGGAGAGAGGAGCAUUAGUUACGGUUUUAAGUCCCGGCUGAACUGGCAGGGGUUACAUGACCUCAGACUCAGGGCCUUGUUAAGGAUGUGCAUGCUUCUCCUUUGCCUUCCACCGUGAUUGUAAGUUUCCUGAGGCCUUCCCAGCAAUGCAGAACCGGCUCACCGGCAGCUGUUCUCCCCAUCCGUGUGCAGGGACGUCUCGGCCCGUCGAAGACCCAGGCGGGCAAAGGAGUGGUACAAGGUGUGGGGAGGGCUGGAGGAAGAAGCCACCAUGCUGGCUUGGAGGGAGCAGAGCAGGAAGGGGUGCCCAUCUUGGGGCCAAGCACUCUCAGGGCUCAUGCCAGGUUUGGGCACCAUGUGAUAAGAUGACCUGCAGGUCUGGCCUUGGAUUUCUGCAGAGGUUUGUUGGGAAGGCAUCACUUAGGAGGCUGGCAGACCAUGAGAAAGUCUCACCUGGAAGCGGUGGAAGUCCUGCGGCUUGAAGUCAUUGGGGGAGCAGCCGCACCAGUCCACGAUGUGCUUGUACUGGCACUUGCAGCCCAGCUUGCGAUUCCAGUUGGUGAUGCGCAGGUUGUUGUCCACCAUGGUGUCGCAGUGGGGGCUGUUCUCCAGGACCGUAUGGAAGAAGGACUGCAGGGGAGAGAGGGACCCAGCCUGAGACCUCUCCCAGCCUCCCACAGAUGAACUGGGGUGGGAAAUGGUGAACCCUUGCUCUGAGUUCAUGUAAGAACUGGUUGUUUAAAAGAAUGUGGCAUCUCAUCAGAAGCUGGGCGGCUUCCUGUACAGCUUGCAGAACUGCAAGCCAAAUAAACCUCUUUUCUUUAUAAAUUACCAAGCCUCAGAUUUUCCUUCAUAGCAAUGCAAAAAUGUAUAACACAACUACCUGACUGUCAAGGGACUCUUAUGUUCUCUGCAUGCAUUUGAGGUCAGCUGCCCAUGUGGUCCAACUCAGAGCGCAGGCGGAUGCUCUGUCCAACAGACAAAUCAAAGGGAUUCAAGUCUGACUGACUGACUGGUGUGCUGGAAUUUCACCCCUGGGGUAGGGAGACCAGAUUGAUGGUUGCAUUAGACCCAG
rnacentral:lncRNA from 1 species